UAAUACGUAGGCAGCAAGCGUUGUUCGGAGUUACUGGGCGUAAAGGGUGUGUAGGUGGCCUGUUAAGUUCCGUGUGAAAUCUCCCGGCUCAACCGGGAGGGUGCGCGGAAAACUGGCGGGCUAGAGUACGGGAUGGGAGAGUAGAAUUCCUGGUGUAGCGGUGAAAUGCGUAGAUAUCAGGAGGAAUACCGGUGGUGUAGACGGCUCUCUGGACCGUAACUGACACUGAGACACGAAAGCGUGGGUAGCAAACAGGAUUAGAUACCCUGGUAGUCCACGCCCUAAACGAUGCAUAUUUGGUGUAGGCAGUUCAUUCUGUCUGUGCCGGAGCUAACGCGUUAAAUAUGCCGCCUGGGGAGUACAGUCGCAAGGCUG
rnacentral:rRNA from 1 species